ACGAACGCUGGCGGCGUGCUUAACACAUGCAAGUCGAACGGAAAGGCCCUGCUUUUGUGGGGUGCUCGAGUGGCGAACGGGUGAGUAACACGUGAGUAACCUGCCCUUGACUUUGGGAUAACUUCAGGAAACUGGGGCUAAUACCGGAUAGGAGCUCCUGCUGCAUGGUGGGGGUUGGAAAGUUUCGGCGGUUGGGGAUGGACUCGCGGCUUAUCAGCUUGUUGGUGGUGUAGUGGCUUACCAAGGCUUUGACGGGUAGCCGGCCUGAGAGGGUGACCGGCCACAUUGGGACUGAGAUACGGCCCAGACUCCUACGGGAGGCAGCAGUGGGGAAUAUUGCACAAUGGGCGGAAGCCUGAUGCAGCAACGCCGCGUGCGGGAUGACGGCCUUCGGGUUGUAAACCGCUUUCGCCUGUGACGAAGCGUGAGUGACGGUAAUGGGUAAAGAAGCACCGGCUAACUACGUG
rnacentral:rRNA from 1 species